CAAAAUAGAGUAAAUGGAUACUUUACAAAUAGCUUUGCAAAACACAAUGACAUGCACAAGUUUAUUCUUAACACACAAGUCUAGACAGCUCACAUACCCAAUACACACAAACACACACACACUCAUACAUAUGGACAGUAAAAAUGUUUUUCUUUUCAAUGUAUGAACACACUAAGUUCCAAUCUAUCACUUCUUUCCUAAUCCUAUUUGAGUCUGGAUUGUGAUUGUUUGCUAAGCAGUUAGUGAUAGUCACUUGUUUAAAGCCUAUACAUCUAUUAUUUAAAUGGAGGAGGAGAUGGACAUUGAGAUGGAGGAGGAGAAAAAACUGAAGAAUGUAUAGGAUGUGCUUCAAUAUCAUCACAUGGACAUUCAGAUAGACAUUAACAAAAACAUUUUCAACACAAAUGCAUUUUUUGAAAAAGAAGCUUGCUGGAGCAGCAAGGGGUAACUCAGUGAUAAUGAGUGCAAAAGAAAAAC